CCGAAAAAGAAAAUGGACCAAAACAUAAUCUAAUAGUAGAAAUUACCUGUAGUAUGGAUUUUUAUUAAAUGUUUAGAUAAAUAUGGAUAAAUUUUAAUUUUAGGUAAAUUAUGGUAUUUUUCUAUUUUAAAUUAUUAUGUGGGUUUUCUUUUCCAUAUUUUUAACUUUUUUUUUUAUAUUUUCCAGAAAAUCAUUUUCUCUCUUACCUCUUUGUCUUCUCCACCACUAUUGUUUUUCUUCACCUCUCUGUCUUCUCUUCACCAUUGUUCCAUCUUCACCAUUGUUUUCUCUCUUACCUCUUUGUCUUCUCCUCCACCAUUUCUCUUCACCAUUGUUCCAUCUUACCUGAAGAGGAGGCAUCGAUUUACGCCGUCGAAGCGAAAACAGGAGCCUAUAAAACAUCGUGAGGUCCCGUCGUCCCUCUGCGUCCUCUGACCCCUUUUCUUCGGACAGCUACCUCUGCCCUCUCCUCUGGUUAGUUUUCUUGCUUCUACUUUUCAUGGAACUGUUCAACUAUUACUCAAUGCUCUGCAAGUGUUUGAUAAAAUGUUUUAAAAGACCCCAAGAAAAAUAAUAUGCUUCUGCAUUGAAUAUCCCUUCUUCUCUACUCAAAGUUGACCCAAGCCAUCACUUUCAUGUCUUUGCAUUUAAAUUGUAUUUUGUACCUAACAUUUCAUAACCAUGAUAAAUUUAAAGCUUCUCUGAGUUUAACUUUCAAUAUAAGUGUACAGGAUUUAGUUUAUAGCUUGUAGAGCACACUUAUCAAUCAUUUAAUCGCGAAAACAUUUUUAUUAUGUAACCUUCCCUUUGUUGGGUAACCAACAUGUAUGGUUGUGAUUUUCCAAGUCAUGCAAUUAGCAUUUGAUUAUACCUUUUAAUCUGAAUGUUUCUAUUUCAGGGUUGGGUAACACUACAAUUGACCCGAGAUCCCACCUUUGCAAGAGGAUUCUUGUCUGCUAGAUCCGUCACUAGGUUUCUUUCAGAUGUUUAUUCUGUAGCUGCUGAUGAAGUUGGGAAAAUUUUUGUUAUUGCUGAUGAAAGGGCAGAUCUUAGCAAACCAGAGAUAAUUCCUGUAACGUUGGUUGGCAUUCACACUGUUAUUGAUUGUGCCACAGGGCGCCCAGAAGAGCCUAUAAAGACGGUCAUUAAUCAUAUUUAGAGAAUGUCUUCAUCUGAUUUUGAAUCUCCGAAGAAAACAUCUAAAAAUACGCAAUCCCCUUCUUCUACUCGUGGUGUGAAAAGAAAGUGCAUUGGUGAAACAUCUAAAUGGAACAAGGUUUUUUCUAAUUAUUCUCUUAAAUGACUGUGGUGCAUUUGUGAUUGCUUUUGCUGAUCACAUAAUUCAUGACACCAUAAAUGGCAUAUCUCCUAAACUCAACAUUGCCAAUUAUCGUGAUGACCUUGUUGUUUGUCUUUACCAUCAUGCUAAAAAGAAGCAAGAGGAUGGGUACAAGACUGAUGUAGAGGAACCUGAAAAGCCUGAGAAAACGAAGAAGAAGACUGAUGUAGAGGAACCUGAAAAGCCCGAGAAGGAAAA